AUAAGAGGUCCAGCCUGCCCAGUGACACUGUUCAACGGCCGCGGUAACCUAACCGUGCGAAGGUAGCAUAAUCAUUUGUCCUUUAAAUGGGGACUAGCAUGAAUGGCAUCACGAAGAUUAUACUGUCUCCUUUUUCCAAUCAGUGAAACUAAUCUCCCCGUGAAGAAGCGGGGAUACACAUAUAAGACGAGAAGACCCUAUGGAGCUUUAAGUAAAACAACAUUUGCCAUUACACAUCUUAAUUUAAGAAAAUUAACCUAUACUAUAGCAUUUUGAUUGUUAGCUUUAGGUUGGGGUGACCGCGGAGUAAAAAAGAACCUCCACAUUGAAAGGGGGUAAUCCCCUAAACAAAAAGUUACAACUUUAUGUAUCAACAUAUUGACAUCAAUUGACCCAAAAAUUUUGAUCAACGAAACAAGUUACCCUAGGGAUAACAGCGCAAUCUGCUUCGAGAGCCCAUAUCGACAAGCAGGUUUACGACCUCGAUGUUGGAUCAGGG
rnacentral:rRNA from 1 species